UAUUCUCACCUCAAUGUCACCACUUUGUCAGCUGCAGACUGAGCAGAACUCACCGCGUUUCCUGUGUCUGUUAAGAGUCUCCCAAACCUCCUCCCUCCCCCACUAGGCCGGAUUCUGACGAACCUUCCUCAGUUGUAGCUGACUACAGAGCCCUGAAGUUUAGAUUCGUCUUAGCAGCAGCAUCAGGAGCUUCCCAUUUAGUAUCCACAAGGAAAAAAAUUCAUGGAGCCGUAUUAUAUAGUCAGCAUUUGGCUAUUUAUUCACCUAGGUGCUGUGCUGGGGGACUCGGUCCAGUCCAGGGAACCCCGCCUCUCUGGAAGAGAAGGAGACGCUGUGACCCUCACUUGUUCUUAUGAGACCAGCUCUACCGGCUACGUCUAUCUCUACUGGUACCGUCAGUUUCCCAACCAAGCCCCGCAGUACAUUCUCCGGAGAGGAGUGAAGCAGGCCAGAGGUCAGAGUAAUACUGCAGAUUUCGCCAAGAAGAGGUUUUCUUCCCAGGCGGAUGACAGCUCCACAGUUCUGAACAUCGCAGCCCUGGAGCUGGCAGACACGGCGCUGUAUCUCUGCGCCCUACGUCUGGCACAGUGACAGAGCCACAUAACAGAGCUGUACAAAAACCCUCCCAGC